AGAUUGAACGCUGGCGGCAUGCCUAACACAUGCAAGUCGAACGGGAGUAGCAAUACUCUAGCGGCGGACGGGUGAGUAAUGCCUAGGAAUCUGCCUAGUGGUGGGGGAUAACGUUCGGAAACGGACGCUAAUACCGCAUACGUCCUACGGGAGAAAGCGGGGGACCUUCGGGCCUCGCGCCAUUAGAUGAGCCUAGGUCGGAUUAGCUAGUUGGUGAGGUAAUGGCUCACCAAGGCGACGAUCCGUAACUGGUCUGAGAGGACGAUCAGGCACACUGGAACUGAGACACGGUCCAGACACCUACGGGUGGCAGCAGUCGAGAAUAAUUCACAAUGGGGGCAAACCCUGAAUGGUGCAACGCCGCGUGGAGGAUGAAGGUCUUCGGAUUGUAAACUCCUGUCAUCUGGGAGUAAGACCUGGCUGUGAAUA
rnacentral:rRNA from 1 species